ensembl:lncRNA
GUUAAAUGGAUGAUUCCUGAGGAGAAAAUGCGUGUUUUUUGCUUAAACGGCGGAUUUGUGAAGAGAAAAUGCGUGUUUUUUGCUUAAAUGGGGGAUUUGCGAAGAGAAAACGCGUGGUUUUCGGGUUAAAUGGGAAAUUUUCGAAGAGAAAACGCGUGUUUUUCGCUUAAAUGGGGGAUUUGUGAAGAGAAAACGCGUGAUUUUCAGGUUUAAUGGAAGAUUCAUGAAGAGAAAACGCGUGAUUUUCAAGUUAAAUGGGGGAUGUCCGAAGAGAAAACGCGUGAUUUUCGCUUAAAUGGGGGAUUUGAGAAGAGAAAAUUCGUGAUUUUCGCAUGAAUGGGGGAUUCUCAAAGAGAAAACGCUUGAUUUUCACUUAAAUAGACGAUUCUCAAAGAGAAAAAGCGAUAUUUUCGCUUAAAUGGGGGUUUUGCGAUGGGAAAACGUGUGAUUUCUGGUUAAAUGGGGGAUUUCUGAAGAGAAAACUCGUGGUUUUUUGUGUU